rnacentral:miRNA from 1 species
AUUCAUGCCCAUCAUUGGUG